GUGUGUGUGUGUGUGUGUGUGUGUGUGUGUGUGUGUGUGUGUGUGUGUGUAUGUAUGUAUGUAUGUGCACGCGCGGUAAUGAACUCAGACUAGAAGUGGGUGGGUGAGUGAGUGGUCGGUCAUGAACACAGACUCGGACUAGAGGAGUGUGUGUUUGUGUGUACAGUUGUUUAUCAUGGUAUGUAAAUAAAGCAUCUCUUGUAAACUAAG